ACAUGUGCAGGCUUUCUGGGUGGUGGGAGAAGAAGUCAAGGAUCCUCCAAGGCUCUUGAAUGUGCGACUUGGGGUUCGGUUUGAGAGCAUGGACCAUGUCCGGGAAUUUCAUUCCGUCACGAACAAAAAAGACAGGGAAAUUGUUUCCAACCAGGUCAAAAUUACCCUGUGUUUAAGAACAAAGUCGCCACAUGAGUACUAACAACACAGCAAAAUAAACCUGAAUAAAGUUGUAUAUAGUGAAUAAUAAUGUUACCAAGAAAUCAACCAUCUGUAUAAGCAUCUAGAUUACAGAUGGUAUGCUACAUGAGCAAUCUUUUACAGCCAGGUGACUACCCCCAUUAGUAAACGAAAAUGAAAAGGCAAAGAAAAGAAAGGAAUGAAUGCAAUCUUUCAUCAAAGUCACAAGACUGCAUAAUUUCCAACAACUAUAAUUAGUCAAAUAUGAAUUGAGUACUUCAUAUUUUGUCACCACAGCCACCUCAGCUGCCACUACAGACACCAAUACAUAUCCACUAAAUAUGCCUAUGCUAUUGAAAAUAAAAAUAAAAUUAACACAUUGAUAAUAUAAAGGUAAAAACCUCACCUCUCUGGUGUAAAACUUCACUGCAAAACCACGAGGAUCCCUCAGGGUUUCAGGGCUGCCACGCUCAUGGAUAACAGUGGAGAAACGCACAAUGACAGGUGUCUGAACACCGGGGGCUCGAAGGAAGUCAGCACAUGUAAGCUGAGAAAUAUCAUGAGUGACCUCGAAGAAUCCCUUCGCACUGGCUCCCCUAGCAUGGACAACACGCUCUGGGAUUCGUUCUCUAUCAAAGUUGGCAAGUUUCUCCACCAGAUGAUAGUCCUCAAGGAGAAUUGGGCCUGACAAAUAGACACAGAAAUUUAAUUCGGAACUGCACCGACUCAACUCACCAUAUUUAAGCAUCUAGAUUACAUGCAAAUAUAGGAUAAAAAUGAAAUUAGUUGUUAUACAUUCCAGAACAUCAAAUAAAGAUGAUUGCUGCUCAGUUGCAAAUAUUCGUAAUUUUUAUUUACAUUUAGAAGGUAGGUUUUCAGACAACCAGAUGAUCAAAAAACCCAUCUUGACAAACCAAAAGGAGGCUGGAGGAAUUAAAAGAGAACCAACAGUGCGGGAGAAUCAUUUUUCAACUAAAGUAAGCAUAAAAUUUUAAAAUAAAUGUCAAUAGGAAAAGGAUCAGCUUCAAAUACAAGAUAUAUAAGUAUAUAUACAUAUCUUAAAUCCCACAAGCGUUUCCAAAGAUUAAUCAUCCUCAACAUGGUAGUGGUGGGAAUAACAUCCAAAAAGCAGUUUACAGCUCAUAAUCACAUGAAUAUCAAAAUCUUGUUCAGAAAAGUUGAGAAAACCAUCACAAAAAUUCAAAACCCAGGUAAGCGAAGAACCAAUGAUAACAAAGAUGAAUAUAUACACACAAAUAGUGAAUAGCAUCAUAAGAUAGAUUGAACAUGAAGCGCAACUAAAAAAACAAUAAAAUAUAAAAUAUAAACUGUGUUGCAAUUGAAAAGCCAGCAUCAAUCAACGAAGAGUUGUGAUGAAUUACCUCUAGAUCCAACAGUCAAAGAAGAGUUGUUGUUCCAAACAGGAGCACCGGAGUUUGUGGUCCAGAAUGGGGAAUCAAAAGCACUUGAAGGGCGGUACUGCAACAUACACAACGAAAACGAAACAAGACCAUGAUGAGCUAAAAGAACAACAAACACAAAAUUUCGAGCUACGCUUAAAUGACCAAUCUGAUUGAUCAAGAAGAUUAAUUCAUCAAGAAAUCAAACUUAAACAAAUCAAGAGAUAUUAUAACAGGGAAAUGAGUACCUUGUAAGGAUCCAUGGAGAAAGAGGGGGAAGGAGGAGUUUGAUAAGAAGGUGAGAGAGCAGAGCAAAGCCACCCAAAGGGAGGGUCGUGUGGCAAAUGAGAAUCGAAGAGCGAAAUGUGAAAUUGGGGAAUUUAUAAACACUUGCGGGUCGUGGGCGUGGCUCGCGCUUCUGCGCAAAUUACCAAUCUCAGCAGGUUAUCUUUAUCCACACACAGAGUGGGAGGUCAAGAGAAGAGAAGACAUAUCUUUGCCAAUUUAGCGUCGCGAGUCAGAACGAUUCUCGCCAAACCUGUCAACGAAGCAUUCUUGUAUGCACAAUUGUGGCAAAACGUCCUUCACUCACUUCAAAUCUUUUACAACCAAUUUUAUGAGGAGGGAUUUUUUUACAAAAAAAAUAAAAAAUUAUACAAUUUUAUGAGGAGAUGGUAUGCAACAAAAAAACAGAGGGGAUUCAGAUUUUUUUUUUUUAAUGGAAAUUAUUGUCCAAAAACAAAAGAAACAUUGAAGAAAUUGAGAGUUCAAUUUAAAAGUAAAAGAGAUCAUUAAAAUGAGUAAAAGAGACUAGAAACACCAUAAUUGACUGUGUAAUUAUAAAAUAUAUGGAGUCGUUUUUUUAUUUUUCAAAUUUUGUGAACAUAUUAUCCCUAAAUAAUGAACACAAAAAUUGAUUUAAAUAUAAUGUUGGUGUUGAUUGCAAUUAAUAAUAGCUAACUAUAGAGAUUUGAUUGAAACAAUUAAAACAUUUCACCACGACAACAAGGUCAAGAAUGCAAGUUGUUUAUUAUUAUGAAUUGGUUUCAAGACGAACAAUUUAACAACAAAUUCCAAACCUCUAUAUUUAGGAUUCAUGCAUUUAUCUACAUUUUAUGAAACUAAGUUGCUCAAAUAAUCUAACCAUUUAACAUGACACAUCAUCAAUUUUUAACCUAAGAUUUUUUUAAAAAAAAAUUGAAGUUAAUUUUAAAGUUAACGUGCUUGAGGGGUUUUUUUUUUCAUCAUGCUUCCUCCUUGAGAAAACUGUGAAUAAAAUUAAUUAAUUGCUACUUAUCUUCAGCUUAUAUAUUGAACCCUAAAGCAUAAAGCGAACUUCAAAACUUUAAUUUUUUGGCCACACAAACUUGAGCAAAGUAUGUCUUAUCUUUUUCACAAGAUUAUUCACUCUCAUUCUAAAUUCAUCGUGAUAUGUUAAGAAAUAACAAGUUUCACGAUGAACUAAAAAAGAACUCUCAAGCACGUUAACAUUAACGUUAGCAUAAGUUUUUGGAAAGAACGAAAAAGACCUUAAUUUAAAGAUUGAUGAUAUGUCAUAUGAAUGGUUAAAUUAUUUAGUUUAAAUUUUACGAAAUAUAAAUAAAUACACGGAUUCUAAAUAUAGAAAUUUGAUAUUCAUUUGCCAUAAAUAUCACUUUAAGAGUGAAAAUCCAGAAUACUAAACUAAAAUUAUAUUUCUUCACAAAAAUUGCAUCUAAAGAUGAGGAUAAAUUGAUGUUCAUCCGGACAUUGAAAAAGCACAAUAUAUCGUGAAGAUAUUCGAUAUAUUGAAAACCUCGCCGAUAUUCAUGUAGGAAGGCUAAACGAUUUUUUUAUGGCAAAAACUUCAACAACAACAACAAAAAAAGAGGCCUGGAAAAUUAUUAUUAUCAUAAUCGUGGUGGGAAUUCAAAAUUGAAAAUAAUUGAGAACGUCAUGCAUUCAUCGUUCGUUAUCCAGGUCUUGGAGCUUUGCUAACACCUAGGCGCAACCACUUAAGGCAGUGGCGGGUAUGGGUGACGUGGUCCACUCACAAGACGCCACGACCACCAAAGUGUACCUUGAAACGCGUGCUCUUAGAAAAUAGCACAGAGAUUCUCUCUCUCAGGGGAUAUGCUUGAAAUUUAUGAACAAAACAGAAGGAAAAAUAAAAACAAACAAGAGGCUAUUUUUGGUGUUGUCUGUGUGAAAGCCGCCAAAACAGCAAAUAUGCUGAUAAGGUUAGAAUGGGCCGAGCUCAGAUUAGCCACAAAGACUGUUCCUCUCUGGGCCCACUUAUCAAUAUUUUAACAUUUUUUUUAAUGGAGCUCGACAAUGAACAAAUUUUGAAGGUAAUUACUUGAUGUUAGUUAGAGAACCUCUAUGUCUAAGGGAACUACGAGUUCAAGGAAGCUUUGAGGUAUGCUCAUGUGACCCUACUUCUUGUUCUUUAUGCAUAAACAUAUUCAAGUUGCAUGUUCAAGGCUUGCCAUCUAAUCAUUAUAUAAUAUUUUGAUCAUCUAUUAUAAAAAUAUAAAAAAAACUAUGUAACUGGGCCUUGGUGCAAUAAGAACUUAAGCAUUAGCUUCAUGUAUGUAGGAAAAGUAGCAAAUAAUUUCAAUUGUAAAAUGAAUGCUUUGGUUUCUUUUCUUGUUAAUGCCGUUUGACUGGUUGUUUUGUCUUAGUGGUUCUUUGACCUCUCUUUGGUCUUUUUAUUGAAAGUUAUGUUGAGAAACUGAAAUUAACUUAAACGUAAAAGGAUUUUUUGAGUAAACAUAUUUCACAGCAUAAGAAUACUGCAGUUUUCCUCUCUUAUAUAUAUCUGAAAAACAAAGCUUACAAAAUAACAAUCUCCACAAUAACCACUAACACACAAGUGCAGAUUUUGUGGAGUUCAACUACCUUAAGCAACGGAAGCAAAUUUGAACGUGGUGAACAGACUAAACCACAACUUCUACAUUCUAGGACUUCAGCUUGACUUGGUCUCUACAUGGCCAUGUCAGCAUUAUUUAAUUAAAAAACUAAUUAAACUUAACUAAAUAACUUUUAACACCCUCCCUUAAACUGAUUUUUACGAAAAACAGUUUAGGAUCUCUACACCAUCACAUAAUCAUCUUCCUGUUCAAUGCUUUGAAAUGAACAAACUCCCAACAUGCUUCUCAGCUUCUCAAGCGCAGGUACCAUCACAUAAUCAUCUUCCUGUUCAAUGCUUUGAAAUGAACAAACUCCCAACAUGCUUCUCAGCUUCUCAAACGCAGGUUGCUUCAAAGGCUUAGUUAAGAUGUCUGCAACCUGCUCCCCACUCUUGCAAUAUUCAAGUACAAUCUUCCCAUCACUGCACAGGUCACGCAAAAAAUGAAAACGUACAUCAAUGUGUUUACUUCUCCCAUGCAUGACUGGAUUCCUCGAUAGCUUUAUAGUUGACAUGUUGUCGCAGUAGAUGGUUGUUGGUCCCUUUUGAACAUCACCAAGCACUUCAAAUAUUUUCCUAAGCGACAUAGCUUGACAGGAGCUUGCAGCUGCUGCUACAUAUUCAGCUUCUGUUGAGGAAAGUGUCACAAUUUGUUGCUUCUUUGAGGACCACGAUAUUGCACCAGAGUUGAGCAGAAAUGUGUGACCGGAAGUGCUCUUACGAUCAUCUAUAUCACCUGCAUAGUCACUAUCUGUGUACCCAACAAAACCAGAACCAUCUUCCCUUUUAUAAAACACACCAUAAUCAAUUGUCCCCUUUACAUACCUGAGAAUUCUCUUUGCUGCAUUGAGAUGCAUUUCAGUUGGUUUUUCCAUAUAUCGGCUCACAAGACUCACUGCAUACAUGAUGUCAGGCCUCGUGUAUGUUAAAUACAUGAGACUCCCAAUUAUCUGUUUAUAGAAAGUGCUGUCAACCUCCUUUCCACCUUUGUCUUUGCAUAGCUUUAAGCCAUGUUCAGCUGGAGUUCCAAAUGGCUUGCAGUCAUCCAUCUGAAACCUGUUAAGAAUGUCCUGUGCAUAUUUUUUCUGGUAGAUGAAAUUACCAGCAGUAGUUUGAAUGACUUCCAAUCCAAGAAAAUAGUGCAUUAAUCCUAGAUCAGUCAUUUCAAACUCCAUCAUCAUAGACUUCUUGAAUUCAUCAAACAUUUUAGCAUCACUUCCAGUGAAUAUCAAGUCAUCAACAUACAAGCAUACCAUGAGUAUUUUACCUUCUUCCUCAGUCUUGACAUAAAGUGUGUGCUCAAAAGGACAUUUGUGAAAUCCAAGCUUAGCAAAGUGAGCAUCUAUGCGACUGUACCAAGCUCGAGGUGCUUGUUUCAGUCCAUAGAGUGUUUUCUUCAGUUUGAACACCUUCUCUUCUUCUCCUUUUCUCUCAUAACCAGGUGGUUGAUCAAUGUACACCUCCUCUUGCAGGUUUCCAUGCAGGAAUGCUGACUUCACGUCUAACUGAAAAAUUUGCCAGGAAUUUUGAGCUGCAAGAGAGAUCACUAACCUAAUCGUGUCGUGCCUCGCAACUGGGGCAAACACCUCUUUGUAAUCAAUGCCAUGCUUCUGCUUGUAGCCCUUAGCUACCAAACGAGCUUUGUGCUUGUCAACCUCACCUUUUUCGUUCAACUUUGUUCUAAACACCCAUUUAACACCAAUGGUUUGCUUUCCCUUUGGAAGAUCAGUUAACUCCCAGGUUUGAUUCUUCUCAAUGGACUUGAUUUCAUUGUCCAUUGCUUCCCUCCAUUUCUCCUCUUUAACAGCCUCAGUAUAUGUGAUUGGAUCACUAUCUACAAGUAAUGCAAAGUGAGCAUUUUCAUCAUCAGAACUUGAAUAACUUACAUCGUAGUCCAUCAUCCAUGCUGGCCUCUUCCUUGAGUUCUCAUCUCUCAAAUUGUAUCUCUCUUCUUCAAACUGUUGAGAUGACUGAACUUCAAGUUGAGGUGGCUGCUGGGCUUGAGUUUCAGGAGCUGCUACCUCUUCAUUGUCUAAAUCAUCAUAAACUGGAAUUUGUUGUUGAACCGAUCUGUUCUCAGACCAAUUCCACAUAGUGUCUUCAUCAAAUAUCACAUCCCUGCUUACCACUAUCUUCUUUGUAACUGGAUUGUACAGUUUGUAUGCUUUUGAGACUUCACUUACACCAAGAAAAACACAUUUUUCACUUUUGUCAUCCAACUUCUUUCUUUUCUCAUCGGGGAUGUGUGCAUAUGCUAUGCACCCAAACACCCUAAAGUGAUCAACCGCAGGCUUCAAUCCACUCCAAGCUUCUUGAGGAGUCAUAUUCUUAACAGAAAAUGUGGGACUUCUGUUUAAAAUAUGAACUGACCAUAGCACAGCUUCAGGCCAAAACUUCUUGGGAAUUCUUCCUUUGACUAGCAGACUUCGAACCAUGUUGAGAAUGGUGCGAUUUUUCCUCUCACUUACACCAUUUUGUUGUGGUGUAUAGGCAGUGGUCAACUGUCUCUUGAUGCCUUUCUCUUUGCAAAAUGCAUCAAAUUCCUUCGAACAGUACUCUCCCCCACGGUCAGUUCUUAGAGUUUUAAUCUUCUUUUCUGAUUCAUUUUCAACUAGAGCUUUGAAGCUUUUGAAUGCUUCAAAUGCCUCUGAUUUUUCCUGCAAGAAAUAUACCCAUGUCUUUCUACUAAAAUCAUCAGUAAAGGAGAUGAAAUAUUUCUUGUUACCAUUUGAGAUGGGAUUUAUUGGUCCACAUAGAUCAGAGUGAACCAUCUCCAGGAUUUAUUGAGCCCUUGCUGCCUUGCCACUUGGAAAAGAGUCUCUUUUGUGCUUCCCAGUGAUGCAUUCUUCACACAUCUUUGAUGGAGGAGUUAUAUCAGGUAAGCCAGUGACCAUCCCUUUCUGGUGAAGUGUUCUCAAGCCAUUAAAAUUCAAAUGGCCAUAUCUGUAGUGCCAUCUCCACGGGUCAUCUUCUUUGGCAAAUAAGCAAGCCUGCAGAGUCUUGAUUUUCAAAGGAAACAAUCUGUUGGAAGACAUUUUCACAACAGCAAUGGACCCUCUUUUUGGGUCGUACACUUCCCACUCUCCUUUAUAGAUUGUAAUCCUAUAGCCUUUAUCUUGUAACUGACCAGCACUCAGCAAAUUUGUCUUCAAAUCAGGAAUAUAAAAAACAUUUGAGAUAGUUUCAAUAAAGUCAUUUUUAGUUUUGAUUUGAAUAUCUCCCUUACCCAUCACUUUCACUGUUGACUUGUCACCAAAACUCACUACCGUGUGAAAGCUUUCAUCCAAAUUAAUAAAGGAAGACUUACAUCCACUCAUGUGAUUGCUGCAGCCUGUGUCCACAUACCAUGUCUCCUGAUCAGUUUUUGUCAGUGCAUGAAAAGCCAUCAAAAGUGUCUCUUCCUCCUUCUUUUUCUCCACAAAAUUUGACUUUUCUCCUUUUUCUUUUGGUAACUUCGUGUAGCACUCAUUCUUGUAGUGCCCAAAAUUUCCACAUCUAUAACACUCCACUUUUGACUUAUCAAAGUGGUACGUUCCUUUUUCUUCAAAGUCAUCAUCUCUUUUGAAAACAUGAGAUGACUUGCUGUCAUCUCUAUGUCCAGACCGUCCACCUCCUCGAUGACCUCGACCACCUCUUCCUCUAUCACGUCCACCUCUUCCACGACCUCUUCCUCCUCGAGAACUUGAGGACUCAGAAACAAUGGAAGCUUUCAGAGCUGUUUGUUCUUCACUGGCAGUGGUGCGGUUAAGUCUUUGUUCAUGCACUAACAAAGAGCUUUGUAGUUCAUCAACUCGUAACUCAGCAACGUUCUUUGCCUCUUCAAUUGAACAGACAAUGUAGUCAAAUUUUGGAGUCAAUGAUCUCAUAAUUUUCUCCACAACUUUGACUUCUUCCAUGGUGCCACCAUUGGAUCUCAUCUUGCUUGCUAUUCCCAGAGUUCUAGCAAAGAAAUCAGUGAUGGACUCUCCUGAUUUCAUUUGUAAAGUUUCGAAGUCCCUUGUUAGAGUUUGAAGCACUGCACGCUUCACCCUCUCUGACCCUGCAUAUUUCUUCUUCAAAGAAUCCCAUAUUUGUUUGGAGGUCUCCUUCUCGAGUAUCGUCUCCAAGAUAGAUCGAUCAAGUGCCUGAAAAAGGUAAUUUUUCACCCUCAAGUCCUUCAGCUUCUGUUCAGCAACCCUCUUUUGUUGUUGUUCAGUCAACACAACUCCCUCUGCUGGGGCGUCAAUUCCUGAUUCCACAAGAUUCCAAUACUCCUUUGACCUGAGAAAAUUUUCCAUCAGCAUGCUCCAAUGGUCGUAGUGACCAUCAAAUCGUGGAAUCGCUGGUUGAAUAAAACUCUCAGUGGCUUUCUCUGUUGCCAUUGUUUCUUGCUGCUGCAAGACACAAUCUUUCACCUUUUUUUCAAGUUUGUUCAGGCCCAGAAGAGCUCUGAUACCAGAUGUUGAGAAACUGAAAUUAACUUAAACGUAAAAGGAUUCUUUGAGUAAACAUAUUUCACAGCAUAAGAAUACUGCAGUUUUCCUCUCUUAUAUACAUCUGAAAAACAAAGCUUACAAAAUAACAAUCUCCACAAUAACCACUAACACACAAGUGCAGAUUUUGUGGAGUUCAACUACCUUAAGCAACGGAAGCAAAUUUGAACGUGGUGAACAGACUAAACCACAACUUCUACAUUCUAGGACUUCAGCUUGACUUGGUCUCUACAUGGCCAUGUCAGCAUUAUUUAAUUAAAAAACUAAUUAAACUUAACUAAAUAACUUUUAACAAGUUAAUCAAAUAAAAUAAAAAUAAAACAACAAUUAGAAGGGUUGCAAUUAGAUAGGCUUGCUAGGCUCCAAGAGGUGCAAGACUGUCUUUUGAUUAAAGUUCAAGCUCCCAAGUCCAAAUUUGGGGCACCAACUAGCCUAUCUCAUUGCAGGCGCUUAACACUUGAAGGGACUGGCGCAAUGAUUUACUAGUAAAAUUUGUAAUAGCUUAAGACUUCGCUAGUAUCAUUUAGUAGUUACAAAUCACUUUACUUCGCCAGUAGUGAGUCCCAAUAUCGGCUGAAUUGCUCUUUCGCCAGUAUUAGUCUGUCGGUAUAAGCUAAAAUUGUAGUAGUGUAAGCUAAUUCUUGAUUUACUGUAAUUAUUCCCUUAUCGGUUAAAACUUCAAAUCAUCAAAGAAAAUCAAAGCACUCUCUAAGAAUUUCACCCUUUAAGAGUGCAUUGAGGCAAACCUAAAAAAAUUCUUCUUCAUCAUCAUCUUGUCACGCUUCCUGAAUCCACCAUAGGAGAUUUUAGUUUGGCCCUCUGGAUGUCCUCUUUUAGGUCUUUACGCACCGCUUCUUGGGGCUUAUCACUUGAGCUCCCAAAGAUCACUCUCUUAGCUUCAGCAAAACUUCCGUCGUGAUCUCGUUUGCGUUUCCCUAGGAUCUCCAAGGCCUCCAGCUGUUUUUGCAUCUCUUUAGAAUAAGAAGUUACCAUCUUUGAUAACUUUUCAUUUUCUGCCUGCAAUAUUUGAAGCUAGCGUUGAUUCUCCUCUGCUGUUUUUUCCUCUUUUUUUUUUUUUCAAUCUUUUGAUCUCACGCCGAUAUUCAUCAACCAAAUUCUGCUCUGCCACAACUAAGCUCUCAGUACUUGCACCUCAUAAGAUUUUGCAAUGAGGCGAUGCCCCACACUUGUGAUAGUUGUCGCAUUUUGCAAGCACAGUGCCACAACAUUGCUCACUAACCGGUUGUCAUCCCCCGUUCCUAGUAUGCAUACAUCCCUGGGAGUCACCAAACUCUUCGCAACUCCAAUGGCAACCUCGUUGUCAAGGAGUAACGAGUCGCUUUUUGUCACUGGUCCUCGUGAAGAAGCAAAGUAGGGUAUCCAGACUGGUGCAACUCCUUGCCCCUAUGUCUGUGUUGGCGGAGCUAGGUUAAGAUCCAAAGAAGAUGAGAAGGGAUACGACAUUUUCUUUCUGCUUUCUUUUUCUUUCAUUUUCUCUCUUUUCUCUUUCUUCUUUCCUUUCUCUUUUCUUUCUUUCUUUUCUCUCUUCUGCGUGGUUGUAAUUCUUCUUUUUCCUUUGUUUCCUUUAAUAGAUGAACCCUAGCACCAUUGCACCGUCUAAUUUUUCCGCAUUCCUUGAGCUCCACAGCCUUCUCGCUUUCCACCGUCUACAACUUUGUCGCGACUUGUGCAACGUCGUCCCUACUAUCCAUGGCACCCAUAAUUCCGCUUGUAGAUUUGUCGUACCUCUGCGCGUCGACACAUGUCUCCUCUCUCUAGGGGUGGGCAUUGGAUUUGUGGUUCAAAUUGAUUUAGGGUUGAUUAAAAUAAAAUGGCAGCCCUAGAAACAGUGACCAGGUAUCUAUCCCAUAUGACAUAAAACAUUUAAAAACAUCCAUGGGACUAUAUUUAAAAAAUCAACUUGAUAAUGUUUAGUUGGAUUGUAUAAUGUGUUUUGUUUUGUUUUGUUGGAUUAUAAAAUGUUUAAGUUUCUGUUUUUUUGUUUAUUUAUAAAAUCAUCCAUGGGACUUCAUUUUCGGUUCAAGGUUCCAUUUUUUUAAGAAACCAGUCCAAAUCGGACCAUGCCCACCCCUACCUCUCUGUCUCUUUUUUUGCUUUGUUUUCCUUCUCUCUCUCUCUCUCUCUCUCUCUCUCUCUCUCUCUCUCUCUCUCUCUCUCUCUUCCUUAUAUAUUCUCUCCUCUCUCUGUUUUUUUAUUUAAAUUUUUUCAAUUGUGAGUUUUGUAACAUGCAUGUUAUUUUAUUUAUGAACCCAUUACACGACUCCAAACUCACACAAAAAAAGACGACCCGAACCCAAGAAGACAUGUUUAUUAAAUGGGUUAGAUUCGGGUUGAGCAUUCUUGACACGUUUGUUAAUUGGAUUGGGUUAAAUAAAUCAAUGACAGCAUAAAAUGAACACAGGGUUUGUGAAAAAUGUGAUAUUUUCAAUGACUAUAUUAAUAAAUCUUUAUUUUUUGAGUAGUUAGAUUUUUGCACAAAGCUUACCUUCCUCAACUGAUAGCUGCAUUGAUCUUUUGUCUAGCUCAACGGCGUGUCUGCUAAGCUCAGAUGGUGAUAAUUGACGAAGCGCUGGCAACAUGAUGAACGAAGAGCAUUUUCAGUGCUGGCAAAACUAAAGGCAGAAAAAUUGUAUGAAAUUUUUUAAAUUGAAAGAGCAGUGCCAUAAUAAAAUGACCUACUCUGGAUCUAUUCUCUCUGAUCAGAAUCAUCAAAUUGCUUCAAGAGGUUCUUGAAAUGUAGAAACCCUUCUGUCCUUUGCUCAUCAUGGUUCUUCUCAGAACCAACCAAGUGAGGAACCAGAGAUUCAGGAGUGAAUCUAAGUUGCCUGGAAUGAGCAGCUGGCAAUCCAUUGGAACAGGUGGUUUACCAGGUGAAAAAUCUACCGGAGAAGCCAAGGGCAUUGGUGCGAACGCAGAUGUCUCAUGUUCCUGCUUCUUGGUUCUGUCUCUAGGUAGGUCUUGCUGCUUUUGCAAACAAUAUCGUUUGAAAUUGAGAGAGUAAGUAUUUUGUUCUCACACCUUUAACUCUUCGCUUGCCUAAUGCUGAAUCUAACUUCCUCGCACUACCACCAUGCAUGAGCUGAUCACUUGCACUGCUGAUGCUCGUGAAUUGGUGACAAGGGGAGCUCCGUGGCAACUCAGGGUUGAGUAUCUUAGUUCCCAAAACCUUAAUGGGAUGCGCGACUGGUCGUCCUAGAAAAACAUACUUGUUAGGGUUAGAGGUCCAUCGGAGUAGUCAUUAGCUGCUAAUCAACCCGAGAGAGAGAGAGAGAGAGAGAGAGAGAGAGAGAGAGAGAGAGAGAGAGAGAGAGAGAGAGCAAAGAAGAAAUGUGGGGCGUGUUUUUUUUUUCCUAAUCUUAUAAUUAAGCGUGUGUUUUCUAAAUCGGGGCAUGUGAGUUGUAUUAGUCGGGUAAUGAGAGUAUUAAAAACUUUCGUUUAAUAUAAUUCAGUAAUUAAGUAAUACAAGUUGACAUCAAACAAAUGACAUUGACUAUUUACUCAUAUCCAUAGUCUAAUACCAUGUACCAAACAUACCUAUACGAGCUUUUGCCACAUGACUCAUCUAACAUGACAAUCCAAGUCCACAAACACAAGCAUACACACUAAGACAGGACACUCAUAUGCAUGUGAACUACAAGAACGACUGCAUAAUAUCUUGUAUAGAAACAAGACAAUACAACCGGCGCUUAUUACAUUGGAACUACAGUUCACAUUACAUACCAAAUUUAGUAUAACACAGAUAGGAAUUCAAACAUUUGACUUGGCAUAACCCUCAAAUGCUUGGCCUCACAUUGAGACGGGAUAAAAGCUUUUGACCCAGAGACUUAUCUGCCUGCAUUGCCAAUACAAGCACAUAACAUCAGAACAACAUGGCUUAUUCUAAAACUAACCCUUCAUAUUCCAGUAUCACAUCAUCACGUUGCUUAACGGUACAAAUUCACAAAUGCAAUAAUUUAUAAAUAGACUCACCUGAGACCAGUAUGAGAUCCAAAUGCUGCGAAUCUCAUGGGUGACACGAGGGUCUGAUAGGGCAUCCACCCAUCGGCGGAUGAAUCGCUCUUGCCUGCAUGAAGAUGCAAGAUUAAGAACAAUGUUUAAAUACAAUUAUUUUCAUACAGAGACAUCACAGGGUUGCCAGGUACCUGUCUGGCGCCCAAGAUCUGUAUCUCUCUCCAGGUUGCUUAAAGUUGUUCUCCUUCUCAAUGACGCACUGAAUAACCAAAACAAAGUUCCCAUAUGAAUUAUUAUGUGCAGAAAACAAGGAAAAUCCAGAAAUGCAAUCGGUGCAUAUGUAUACACACACACACCUACACUAGUGUAUGUGCCCAGGUGACAGAAAAAGGGACACAGCUGGAAGAAAAGAUGAUGUACAGACGAGACGGGGAAACUAAGGUAUAUUAUUUAAAGCAAUAUUCCUCAAUUGAUAGAAACUGACCUUCUCACGCUUUCCAGAAAGGAUAUUAGAAGGAAUGGGGUAGCGCUCAGCAUGACGAACAGGAUCAUGCCUUGAAGGGAAGUAAUUAACCUGAAAAUAACAGUAUAGCAACUCAUCAGAGAAAACUCAAAUGAAUAAACAUGCAUACAAUUGGAGUUGUCCUCCCAGAAUAUUGAGCAAUCGAAGUAUACAAGGGCCAAAGCGAUUCCAUAUGAGACAUAACAAUUGAGUAAAAUAAUAAUACCUCCUCAUCCCUGUGCAUGAAAUUCAUGAAUCCCUCAUGAUGAUUGUUAUGAUGAGGACACUUGGGAGCAUUCACUGGGAGCUGCAGAUAGUUCGGGCCAAGACGGUGCCUCUGAGUAUCAGAAUAUGCGAAGAUUCGAGUUUGGAGCAUCUUAUCAUCUGAAUAGUAGAUACCAGGGACAACAUGGGCAGGGUUAAACGCAAGUUGUUCAUUCUCUGCAAAGAAGUUAUCGAUGUUUUUAUUCAGAACCAAACGGCCAACUGGCUGCAGGGGAAGGAUAUCUUCAGGCCAGGUCUUAGUUAAGUCAAGAGGGUCAAAGUCAAAUCUGUCCUCGUGAUCAGGAUCCAUUGUCUGAAUAUAAAGUUUCCACUCAGGGUAGUUGCCAGCUGCAAUGGAAUCAUAGAGGUCCUUGGUAGCAUGGCUGUGAUUAGCUCCUCCAACCUUAAUAGCUUCAUCCUCCAACAAACACUUGACUCCACAAGUAGGUUUCCAAUGAAAUUUCACAUAGUGUACUUUCCCUGCCUUACUGAUGAGGGUAUAGGCGUGAACACUAGAGCCUUCCAUGUGCCUGUAAUCUUGUGGAACUCCCAGAUCAUCAUAAAAGAAGGCGAACGUGUGCAGGCUUUCUGGAAGGUGGGAGAAGAAGUCAAGGAUCCUCCAAGUCUCUUGGAUGUGCGACUUGGGGUUCGGUUUGAAAGCACGGAUCGCGUCCGGGAAUUUCAUUGCAUCACGGACAAAAAAGACGGGGAAAUUGUUUCCAACCAGGUCAAAAUUACCCUGCGUUUAAGAAGAACAAAGUCACCACAUGAGUAAUUACUACACAGCAAAAUUAACCCGAAUAAAUUCGUAUAUGGUGAAUAAUGCUACAUGAGCAAUCUAUUACAGCCAGACGACUACCCCCUAUAAUUUAAAGGAAAAUGAAAAGGCAGAGCUAAGAAAGGAAUGAAUGCAAUCUUUCAUUAAAGUCACGAGACUGCAAGAUUUCCAAUAACUAUAAUUAGUCAAAUAUGACUUGAGUACUUCAGAUUUUGUCACCACAGCCACCUCAGCUGCCACUACAGAUACCAAUACAAAUCCAUUAAAUAUGCCUACACUAUUGAGAAAAUAAAUAAAACAUUGAUAAUAUAUAGGUAAAAACCUCACCUCUCUGGUGUAAAACUUCACUGCAAAACCACGAGGAUCCCUCAGGGUUUCAGGGCUGCCACGCUCAUGGAUAACAGUGGAGAAACGCACAAUGACAGGUGUCUGAACACCAGGGGCUCGAAGGAAGUCAGCACAAGUAAGCUGAGAAAUAUCAUGAGUGACCUCAAAGAAUCCCUUUGCACUGGCUCCCCUAGCAUGGACAACACGCUCUGGGAUUCGUUCUCUAUCAAAGGUGGCAAGUUUCUCCACCAGAUGAUAGUCCUCAAGGAGAACUGGACCUGAAAAAUAGAAACAGAAAUUUAAUUCGGAACUGCACCGACUCAACUCAUCAUAUUUAAUCAUCUAGAUUACAUGCAAAAAUAGCAUAAAAAUGAAAUUAAUUGUUAUGCGUUCCAGAACAUAAAAUAAAGAUGACUGUUGCUCGGUUGCAAAUAUUUGUAAUUUUUAUUUACAUUUAGAAGGUAGGGUUUCAGCCAACCAGAUUAUCUUGACAACCCAAAAGGAGGCUGGAGGAAUUAAACGAGAACCAACAGAGCGGGACAAUCAUUUUUCAACUAAAGUAAGUAGAAAUUUUAAAAUAAAGGGUUUACUACUGAAAUACCCCUUGAAAUUGUAGCUCACUUUCAAUUAGCCCUCUAUUCUUUUUUUUUUAGAAAAUUAAGGAUAAGAAUUUUUUUUUUCGGCCAAUUUCCCCCUGCCGUCUAAAUCCUCAACAUUUCUUCUAAUUUUCUGUUAAAUAUGAGGGCAUAUUGGUCAUUUCAAACAUUAAAAAUAAUAAAUAUAGAAUUAAAAAUUAAAAAUUGAAAUAAUAAUGAUAUAUUCACCCUAUGUUUGACAGCCACCAACAUCACACCCUCUCUUCGAUCUCUUUCCCCCUCCUCUUCAACAUCCACCAACAUCACCAUCCUCCACCCUCUGUCUCUUCUCCCCCCAUAUGCCCAUCCCCUCCUCCUUCUCCCUCCCACUCUCUUUUUGCGUCUCUCUCUCCCGAUGCCAAGGUUACAGAGAGGAAAACAAAAUUUAAUAAUAAACAUAUUGAGAUGUUUUGGGUGCCUGUUUAGGAUUUUGAUCUUGAAUUUUUUUUCUUUGGUGGCUGUUUGGCUGUUUGGGUUUCCUGGGGAGUAAGGUGAGGUUAAUAAUAAAGAUCUUCAAAUUUUUUGUGUGGCUAUUUAGGGUUUUGAUCUUGAAUAUAAAUUUUUUUUUGGGUGGUGUUUGAGUUUUUUGGGAGGUGAGGUUAUGGAUGUCGAAGAAAGAGGGAGACAUAAGGAGGAGGGGGAGGGUGAAAGGUGGGGGAAGAGAGAAGAGAGGGUGGGAGACACACUUUGUAGAUAACGAAAGGACGAAAAACAAAAAAGAAGAUCAAAACCCUAAAGCGUAAGGGAAUAGGGCGACAAAGUGAGAGAGAAGGAGGCAGGAGGAGGUGAGUCGGGGUGGGGCUGGUUGACCUCGGGAGAAGCAUCGGGCAGAGGAGGAGGGGGAGAAGAAAACCAGAGGGGAGGGGGAAGAAAAAAAACUGAUGAGAUAAGGUUUUAUUUUGUGUUAUCUUUUUCUUCUUUUUUCAAUUUUUUUUAAUGAUUUAAUAAAAAAUUGGAUAAAAUGUUGAGAUGUAGACCGCAGGGGAAAAUUAGCCAAAAAAAGAAAUUCAUAUCCUUAAUUUUCUAUAUAUAUAUAAAUAAAUAAAUAACAGAUAAGGGGUUAAUCGAAAAGGAUCAGCUUCAAAUACAAGAUAUAUAAGUAUAUAUAUACAUAUCUUAAAUCCCACAAGCGUUUCCAAAGAUUAAUCAUCCUCAACCUGGUAGUGGGCGGGAAUAACAUCCAAAAAGCAGUUUACAUCUCAUAAUCACAUGAAUAUCAAAAUCUUGUUCAAAAAAGUUGAGAAAACCAUCACAAAAAUUCAAAACCCAGGUAAGCGAAGAACCUAUGAUAACAAAGAUAAAUAUAUGCACACAAAUAGUGAACAGCAUCAUAAGAUAGAUAGAUGAUGAAGCGCAACUAAAAAUAAAAAAUAAAAAAACUGGGUUGCAAUUGAAAGCCCAGGAUCAAUCAACGAAGAGUUGUGAUGAAUUACCUCUAGGUCCAACAGUCAAAGAAGAGUCGUUGUUCCAAACUGGAGCACCGGCGUUUGUGGUCCAGUAUGGGGAAUCAAAAGCACUUGAAGGGCGGUGCUGCAACAUACACAACGAAAAUGAAACAAGACCAUGAUGAGCUAAAAGAACAACAAACACAAAAUUUCGAGCACGCUUAAAUAUGACCAAUCUGAUUGAUCAAGAAGAUUAAUUCACCAAGAAAUCAAACUUAAACAAAUCAAGAAAUAUUGAGAUUAGGACAGGGAAAUGAGUACCUUGUAAGGAUCCAUGGAGAGAGAGAUGGGGAGAAGAAG
rnacentral:lncRNA from 1 species